CGGGAUAGAUCACCACAGCUAGAGCCGUGAAACUUCUGGUAUUUUCGCGGCAUCAAGUGUAUAAAACUCUCUUCAUUCUCCGAUGGCUUAAACGCAGAAUCCACGGGUCCGGAGUCUCUCAGUCGGUUAAAAAGCUGUGCUUUCCCCCUUCUUUUGGAUAAACCUGGUAAAUUAAACCCCCAAAGAAUGGCCAGCUCUCUGCAGAGAGGCGCUCUGUAUCUCGCUCGAGCUAAUAGAUCGAUUCUCGGACGUUCACCUGGAUGGUUCUCUUCUUCGGACGCCUUGGUGGAUGUUAAACCAGGCGAGGUCGGCCUGGUAUCGGGGAUCCCCGAGCAGCAUCUUCGAAGAAGGGUAAUUACUUAUUCACCUGCUCGAACUGCAAUACAACAGGGCUCUGGAAAAGUUGGGAGAUGGAAAAUUGAUUUUUUGUUUACCCAUAAGUGGGAGAAUCCAUUGAUGGGUUGGACAUCCACUGGAGAUCCAUAUGCUAAUGAUGGUGAUGCAGGACUCAGUUUUGAUAGUGCAGAAGCUGCAAAGGCAUUUGCUGAAAAACAUGGUUGGGCAUAUACAGUAUUUUUCUCUAUAGCCUGUAUUUCUGCUUUAUAGAUGUGUAUGAAUCUGUCUUUGUAAUUAGUCUCCUUGAGCGCUAUCUUUUUCUGUUACCAUUUCCUUUGCCUCCUAAUUGUAAAACCCUUUAAUAAAUAGUUAUGGACAAUAGGCUGCUCGAUGGUUUCCCAGGAUAUACAUGAGCUGUAAUUUGGAUGUUGUUUCUAUGUUCCUCAUUUUCUUGUCUGAAGAAGAAAUAUCUUCAUAUGAUAUAGAAAUAGGCCUUUGUUUUAUGCAGAAAAGGAUCCUUGUAAAGGUUUUUUUCCCCUGAACUGCUUAUAUAUUUCUUUUCAUAAUUGAAAUGGGGUACAUUUUCCAUUCUUACAUAUAUUUUUUAUUAGUGAAUUUUUUCGAUUCAUUGAUCUCCAUGUUGCAUAUUCUUAAAACAACUUAAAAUCCUGUGCAGGUCAAGAAGCGGCAUACACCUCUUCUGAAGUUUUGAGCCUAUUCCUCUUCCCCUCGUUAAUCUAGCUGCUUUGACGUAUUCAAGAUGAAUAUGUAGAACAUGCAUGGACGUGUCUGCAAUGUUGGCUUAAGAUUGGGCUUAUUGUAAUUGUUGUCUUCUCUUUUGUUUCAUUUUAUUUAAAUAUAGGAAUUUUAUUUAUUUAUUUUUUUAAUAUUUACAGCCUAAGUCGUAUGCUGACAACUUCAAGUGGAAGGGCCCAGCAAAGAACAAGGAUGCUUAGUGUAACUAUCCAACAUCCAUUUGGAUGCUUGAAAGGCUGUCCUGGAAGCUUUUAUCUUAUUUGUUAAGCCUAGGUAUUGUAUUUAUUUGCUGUUCCAUGUUUGUGAAUGUAUCUUGCCAUUUCGGCCAAUUAAAAAAAAAUCAACUUUUCGUAUGGAAAAUGAUCGGGUUGCCUAAUUCUGUGUAAAAUUCUC
rnacentral:misc_RNA from 1 species